GAUGAACGCUAGCGGCAGGCCUAAUACAUGCAAGUCGGACGAUACCAAGGGGCUUGCUCCUUGGAAAAGUGGCGCACGGGUGCGUAACGCGUAUGCAACCUACCUUUAUCAGGGGGAUAGCCCGGAGAAAUCCGGAUUAAUACCGCAUAAAAUCACAGGAUGGCAUUAUCCAAUGAUCAAACAUUUAUGGGAUAAAGAUGGGCAUGCGUGUCAUUAGCUAGUUGGCGGGGUAACGGCCCACCAAGGCGACGAUGACUAGGGGAUCUGAGAGGAUGGCCCCCCACACUGGUACUGAGACACGGACCAGACUCCUACGGGAGGCAGCAGUAAGGAAUAUUGGUCAAUGGGCGGAAGCCUGAACCAGCCAUGCCGCGUGCAGGAAGACUGCCCUAUGGGUUGUAAACUGCUUUUAUCCGGGAAUAAACCUACUUACGUGUAAGUAGCUGAAUGUACCGGAAGAAUAAGGAUCGGCUAACUCCGUGCCAGCCGCCGCGGUAA
rnacentral:rRNA from 1 species